rnacentral:rRNA from 1 species
AUUGAACGCUGGCGGCAGGCCUAACACAUGCAAGUCGAGCGAGAGGCGGACGGGUGAGUAAUGUCUGGGAAACUGCCUGAUGGAGGGGGAUAACUACUGGAAACGGUAGCUAAAACCGCAUACCCUCAGAUGUGCCCAGAUGGUAUUUGCUAGUAGGUGGGGUAAUGGCUCACCAAGGAAACGAUCCCUAGCUGUUCUGUGAGGAUGACCAGCCACACUGGAACUGAGACACGGUCCAGACUCCUACGGGAGGCAGCAGUGGGGAAUAUUGCACAAUGGGCGCAAGCCUGAUGCAGCCAUGCCGCGUGGAUGAAGAAGGCCUUCGGGUUGUAAAGUACUUUCAGCGAGGAGGCGUUACUCGCAGAAGAAGCACCGGCUAACUCCGUGCCAGCAGCCGCGGUAAUUC